GGGGAAGUAUGGUCCCAAGGCUAAAACUUAAAGGAAUUGACAGAAGGGAACCACUAGGAGUGGAGCCUGUAGCUUAAGUUGACUCAACACGAGAAAGCUUACUAGGUAUAAACAUAGUAAGGGUUGACAAAUUAAGAGAUCUUUCUUGAUUAUAUGGGUGGUGGUGUAUGGUCAUUCUUAUUAAUGGAGCGAUAUGUCUGUUUAAUUCUGAUAACGAACGAGACUUAAGUGUGCUAACUAGCUACAUGGAGUUUCCUCUUCAUGGAUAGCUUCUUAAAGGGACUAUGGUCUUUUAGGCCAUGGAAGUUUGAGGCAAUAAUAGGUCUGUGAUGCCCUUAGAUGUUCUGGGUUGCACGCAUGCUACACUGAUGCAGUCAAUGAGUUUUUCUCCCUAGUUCAAGAGGAUCGAGAAAUAUUCUCAAAUUGCAUCAUGAUGGGGAUAGACCAUUGCAAUUAUUGGUCUUCAAUGAGGAAUUCCUAGUAAGUGCAUGUCAUCAACUCAUGUUAACUACAUCCCUUCCAUUUGUACACAUCACUCGUUGCUCCUACCAAAUAUUGAAUGAUCCAGUGAAGUGUUCGGAUCGCGUCAAUGAGGGUGGUUCGCCACCGAUGACAUCAUGAUAUUUUCACUAAACCUUAUCAUUUAGAGGAAGGAGAAGUCGUAACAAGGUUAUUGUAGGUGAACCUACGGUAG
rnacentral:ncRNA from 1 species